AUGGAGUACUUCCCCCUGCCAGGUGAGACUUUGGGCGAUUGGUGCAAGAGACAGGAGGAGAGCAUGGAGCAUCGGAAGUCCAUACGGGCAUUGUGCUUAUUGGCAAUGUGGACGUUGCGGAAACAUAGGAAUGGUAUUGUGUUCGAGAAAGACACACCAUCUAUGUCAGGUGUGUUGCAGAAGAUCCAAGUGGAGGGAGCUAUCUGGGCUAAGGCAUGUUGGAAAUAUGCCCUCGAGGCAAUAAUAAAUUGGUUAUUAUUAUAUUUCCUUGUUCAUGAUAAUCGUUUAUUAUCCAUGCUAGAAUUGUAUUGA
rnacentral:rRNA from 1 species